rnacentral:rRNA from 1 species
UACGUAGGGCGCAAGCGUUGUCCGGAAUUAUUGGGCGUAAAGGGCUCGUAGGUGGCCAACUAAGUCAGACGUGAAAUCCCUCGGCUUAACCGGGGAACUGCGUCUGAUACUGGAUGGCUUGAGUGUGGGAGAGGGAUGCGGAAUUCCAGGUGUAGCGGUGAAAUGCGUAGAUAUCGUUUGGAACGCCAAUGGUGAAAACAGGUUGCUGGGAGUGUGCUGACGCUGAGACACGAAAGCCAGGGGAGCAAACGGG